GAUGAACGCUCGCGGCAGGCCUAACACAUGCAAGUCGAGGGAGAAGCCCUUUCGGGGGCAGAAACCGGCGCACGGGUGCGUAACGCGUAUGCAACCUACCUUUCACAGGGGGAUAGCCCGAAGAAAUUUGGAUUAAUACCCCAUAAUAUUAUUGGAUGGCAUCAUUUGAUAAUUAAAACUGCGGUGGUGAAAGAUGGGCAUGCGUCCUAUUAGCUAGUUGGCGUGGUAACGGCACCCCAAGGCUACGAUAGGUAGGGGUCCUGAGAGGGAGAUCCCCCACACUGGUACUGGGACAGGGACCAGACUCCUACGGGAGGCAGCAGUGAGGAAUAGUGGUCAAUGGUCGGAAGACUGAACCAGCCAUGCCGCGUGCAGGAAGAAUGCCUUAUGGGUUGUAAACUGCUUUUAGAUGGGAAGAAUAAGGCGUACGUGUACGUUGAUGACGGUACCAUAUGAAUAAGCAUCGGCUAACUCCGUG
rnacentral:rRNA from 1 species